UGCGCAGGCGGUUAUGUAAGUCAGAUGUGAAAUCCCCGGGCUUAACCUGGGAAUGGCAUUUGAGACUGCAUGGCUAGAGUGUGUCAGAGGGGGUAGAAUUCCACGUGUAGCAGUGAAAUGCGUAGAGAUGUGGAGGAAUACCGAUGGCGAAGGCAGCCCCCUGGGAUAACACUGACGCUCAUGCACGAAAGCGUGGGGAGCAAACAGGAUUAGAUACCCUGGUAGUCCACGCCCUAAACGAUGUCUACUAGUUGUCGGGACUUAAUUGUCUUGGUAACGCAGCUAACGCGUGGAGUAGACCGCCUGGGGAGUACGGUCGACAAGAUUAAA
rnacentral:rRNA from 1 species